GUAGUAAAGGCAGGAGAGGAGUUCUAGGUAGACAGUAGUCAAGGCAGGAGAGUAGUUCUAGGUAGACAGUAGUAAAGGCAGGAGAGUAGUUCUAGGUAGACAGUAGUAAAGGCAGGUGAGUAGUUCUAGGUAGACAGUAGUAAAGGCAGGAGAGUAGUUCUAGUUAGACAGUAGUAGUCAAGGAAGGAGAGUAGUUCUAGGUAAACAGUAGUAGUCAAGGCAGGAGAGUAGUUCUAGGUAGACAGUAGUCAAGGCAGGAGAGAAGUUCUAGGUAGAAAGUAGUCAAGGCAGGAGAGUAGUUCUAGGUAGACAGUCAAGGCAGAAUAGUUUUAGGUAGACAGUCAAGGCAGGAGAGUAGUUCUAGGUAGACAGUAGUAAAGGCAGGAGAGUAGUUCUAGGUAGACAGUAGUCAAGAUAGAAGAGUUCUAGGUAGACAGUAGUAAAGGCAGGAGAGUAGUUCUAGGUAGACAGUAGUAGUCAAGGCAGGAGAGUAGUUCUAGGUAGACAGUAGUCAAGGCAGGAGAGUAGUUCUAGGUAGACAGUCAAGGCAGGAGAGUAGUUCUAGGUAGACAGUAGUAGUUCUAGGUAGACAGUAGUAAAAGGCAGGAUAGUUCUAGGUAGACAGUCAAGGCAGGAGAGAAGUUCUAGGUAGACAGUAGUCAAGGCAGGAGAGUAGUUCUAGGUAGACAGUAGUAGUGAAGGCAGGAGAAUAGUUCGAGGUAGACAGUAGUCAAGGCAGGAGAGUAGUUCUAGGUAGACAGUAGUCAAUUCAGAAGAAUAGUUCUAGGUAGACAGUAGUCAAGGCAGGAGAAUAGUUCGAGGUAGACAGUAGUAAAGGCAGGAGAGUAGUUCUAGGUAGACAGCAGUCAAAGCAGGAGAAUAGUUCUAGGUAGACAGUAGUCAAGGCAGGAGAGUAGUUCUAGGUAGACAGUAGUCAAGGCAGGAUAGUAGUUCUAGGUAGACAGUAGUAAAGGCAGGAGAGUUCUAGGUAGACAGUCCAGGCAGGAUAGUUCUAGGUAGACAGUAGUCAAGGCAGGAGAGUAGUUCUAGGUAGACAGUAGUCAAUGCAGAAGAAUAGAUUUAGGUAGACAAUAGUCAAGGCAGGAGAAUAGUUCUAGAUAGACAGUAGUAAAGGUAGGAGAGUAGUUCUAGGUAGACAGUAGUCAAGGCAGGAGAAUAGUUCUAGGUAGACAGUCAAGGCAGGAGAGUAGUUCUAGGUAGACAGUAGUCAAGGCAGGAGAGUAGUUCUAGGUAGACAGUAGUCAAGGCAGGAGAGUAGUUCUAGGUAGACAGUAGUAGUCAAGGCAGAAGAGUAGUUCUAGGUAGACAGUAGUAGUCAAGGCAGGAGAGUAGUUCUAGGUAGACAGUAGUCAAGGCAGUAGAGUAGUUCUAGGUAGACAGUAAUCAAGGCAGGAGAGUAGUUCUAGGUAGACAAUAGUCAAUGCAGGAGAGUAGUUCUAGGUAGACAGUAGUCAAGGCAGGAGAGUAGUUUUAGGUAGGCAGUAGUAAAGGCAGGAAAGUAGUUCUAGGUAGACAGUAGUAGUCAAGGGGGGAGAGUAGUUCUAGGUAGACAGUAGUAAAGACAGGAGAGUAGUUCUAGGUAGACAGUAGUAAAGACAGGAGAGUAGUUCUAGGUAGACAGUAGUCAAGGCAGGAGAGUAGUUCUAGGUAGACAGUAGUCAAGGCAGGAGAGUAGUUCUAGGUAGACAGUAGUCAAGGCAGGAGAGUAGUUCUAGGUAGACAGUCAAGGCAGGAGAGUAGUUCUAGGUAGACAGUAGUCAAGGCAGGAGAAUAGUUCUAGCUAGACAGUAGUCAAGGCAGGAGAGUAGUUCUAGGUAGACAGUAGUCAAGGCAGGAGAGUAGUUCUAGGUAGACAGUAGUCAAGGCAGGAGAGUAGUUCUAGAUAGACAGUAGUCAAGGCAGGAGAGUAGUUCUAGGUAGACAGUAGUCAAGGCAGGAGAGUAGUUCUAGGUAGACAGUAGUCAAGGCAGGAGAGUAGUUCUAGGUAGACAGUAGUCAAGGCAGGAGAGUUCUAGGUAGACAGUAGUCAAGGCAGGAGAGUAGUUCUAGGUAGACAAUAGUCAAGGUAGGAGAGUAGUUCUAUUUAGACAGUAGUCAAGGCAGGAGAGUAGUUCUAGGUAGACAAUAGUCAAGGUAGGAGAGUAGUUCUAUUUAGACAGUAGUCAAGGUAGGAGUAGUUCUAGGUAGACAGUAGUCAAGGCAGGAGAGUAGUUGUAGGUAGACAGUAGUCAAGGCAGUAGUUGUAGGUAGACAGUAGUCAAGGCAGGAGAGUAUUUCUAGGUAGACAAUAGUCAAGGUAGGAGAGUAGUUCUAUUUAGACAGUAGUCAAGGUAGGAGAGUAGUUCUAGGUAGACAGUAGUCAAGGCAGGAGAGUAGUUGUAGGUAGACAGUAGUCAAGGCAGUAGUUGUAGGUAGACUGUAGUCAAGGCAGGAGAGUAGUUCUAGGUAGACAAUAGUCAAGGUAGGAGAGUAGUUCUAUUUAGACAGUAGUCAAGGUAGGAGAGUAGUUCUAGGUAGACAGUAGUCAAGGCAGGAGAGUAGUUGUAGGUAGACAGUAGUCAAGGCAGUAGUUCUAGGUAGACAGUAGUCAAGGCAGUAGAGUAGUUCUAGGUAGACAGUAGUCAAGGCAGGAGAGUAGCUCUAGGUAGACAGUAGUCAAGGCAGUAGAGUAGUUCUAGGUAGACAGUAGUCAAGGCAGGAGAGUAGUUCUAGGUAGACAGUAGUCAAGGCAGUAGAGUAGUUCUAGGUAGACAGUAGUCAAGGCAGGAGAGUAGUUCUAGGUAGACAGUAGUCAAGGCAGGAGAGUAGUUCUAGGUAGACAGUAGUCAAGGCAGUAGAGUAGUUCUAGGUAGACAGUAGUCAAGGCAGGAGAGUAGUUCUAGGUAGACAGUAGUCAAGGCAGGAGAGUAGUUCUAGGUAGACAGUAGUCAAGGCAGUAGAGUAGUUCUAGGUAGACAGUAGUCAAGGCAGGAGAGUAGUUCUAGGUAGACAGUAGUCAAGGCAGGAGAGUAGUUCUAGGUAGACAGUAGUCAAGGCAGGAGAGUAGUUCUAGGUAGACAGUAGUCAAGGCAGUAGAGUAGUUCUAGGUAGACAGUAGUCAAGGCAGGAGAGUAGUUCUAGGUAGACAGUAGUCAAGGCAGGAGAGUAGUUCUAGGUAGACAGUAGUCAAGGCAGGAGAGUAGUUCUAGGUAGACAGUAGUCAAGGCAGUAGAGUAGUUCUAGGUAGACAGAAGAUCACUAUAACCUACAACCAAGCAACAUUGAACACAACACAAAGCAACAUUGCAGAGGGCAGUCAUAUUACCAGAAAAAUCUCACAUGUGUCGGGUUUUUAGCAUUUCACAUCAACUUUGCUUGAAAAUUGUUGCACAGAUGAGACAAGAUGGAACACAGUUUUGGUGAAUGUAUUGAACACAAGUGUUACAUAGCAACACUGAAGCAAUGCUUUACAAGUGUUGUAGUGUUGUCAAGACCUGAUGAAUGUUCUGGAACUCAGAUGGUCAUAUACUGUGUUUUAGUGGUCCAAGUGAACAGUGAACACUUUACAGUAGCACCCCCUUAGCCAUGGAUUCACUUUUCAAUGUUCCACUUAGCCACAGUUUACUGUGGCCCAAAAAUAACCCUUCAGCUUAAUAAUGACCACAAAGCAUUGAUGGUGACAGUUGUUCAAAGUCUCAGAGAAGCUGUGAAG